rnacentral:rRNA from 1 species
CUACAAGUCCUUUACUGACGCUAAAGCUCGAAGGUGCGGGUAUCGAACAGGAUUAGAUACCCUGGUAGUCCGCACGGUAAACGAUGGAUGCCCGCUGUUUGCGAUAUACUGUGAGCGGCCAAGCGAAAGCGUUAAGCAUCCCACCUGGGGAGUACGCCGGCAACGGUGAAACUCAAAGGAAUUGACGGGGGCCCGCACAAGCGGAGGAACAUGUGGUUUAAUUCGAUGAUACGCGAGGAACCUUACCCGGGCUUGAACUGCAGCAGAACGAUUCAGAGAUGAUGAGGUCCUUCGGGACUGCUGUGGAGGUGCUGCAUGGUUGUCGUCAGCUCGUGCCGUGAGGUGUCGGCUUAAGUGCCAUAACGAGCGCAACCCCUCUCUUCAGUUGCCAUCAGGUAGGGCUGGGCACUCUGGAGACACUGCCACCGUAAGGUGUGAGGAAGGUGGGGAUGACGUCAAAUCAGCACGGCCCUUACGUCCGGGGCUACACACGUGUUACAAUGGGUGGUACAGAGCGUCGGCGGCCUGCAAAGUCCGCCCAAUCGCAAAAUCCAUCCUCAGUUCGGACUGGGGUCUGCAACCCGACCCCACGAAGCUGGAU